GGCUUGGUGGCGUAAUGGUAACACGCUUCGUGUACCUAUGGAACAUUCCCAUAUCGUUUAACGGAAAGUCCAGAGUUCGACUCUCUGUCAAGCCA